rnacentral:rRNA from 1 species
CCUACGGGAGGCUGCAGUGAGGAAUAUUGGUCAAUGGUCGGGAGACUGAACCAGCCAAGCCGCGUGAGGGAUGAAGGUACAGAGUAUCGUAAACCUCUUUUGUCAGGGAACAAAGGCGGGGACGUGUCCCCGGAUGAGUGUACCUGAAGAAAAAGCAUCGGCUAACUCCGUGCCAGCAGCCGCGGUAAUACGGAGGAUGCGAGCGUUAUCCGGCUUUAUGGGGUUUAAAGGGUGCGCAGGCGGUCUGUUAAGUCAGCGGUCAAAGCCCGGGGCUCAACCCCGGCCCGCCGUUGAAACUGGCAGUCUCGAGUUGGAGAGAAGUAUGCGGAAUGCGCGGUGUAGCGGUGAAAUGCAUAGAUAUCGCGCAGAACUCCGAUUGCGAAGGCAGCAUGCCGGCUCCACACUGACGCUGAGGCACGAAAGCGUGGGUAUCGAACAGGAUUAGAUACCCGUGUAGUC